rnacentral:rRNA from 1 species
CUGCCGGCGACGGGCGCACGGGUGAGUAACACGUAUGCAACCUGCCCUCCGCAGGGGGAUAACCCGGAGAAAUCCGGACUAAUACCGCGUGGUACACCAGUGGGGCAUCCCACGGGUGUUAAAAGGAAGCGAUUCCGGCGGAGGAUGGGCAUGCGGCGCAUUAGCUAGUUGGCGGGGUAACGGCCCACCAAGGCGACGAUGCGUAGGGGUUCUGAGAGGAAGGUCCCCCACACUGGUACUGAGACACGGACCAGACUCCUACGGGAGGCAGCAG